CUUCUUGCAAACUUUAAAAUUAUUUUGAAAUUAUACCUAUUUUCUAUCGUUAUAUGUGUGUGUAUAUAUAUAUAUAUAUAUAGACAUGCAUUCAAGCAUAAAAAUUACAAAACGACAAAAAAAAAAAAAAGAAAUCUCUACACUACGAAGCCUCAAUACAUGAAAGGAGUUGGGGCAAUUGCCGACGAAAAGUUUAGCCUACAUUUUUUUC
rnacentral:lncRNA from 1 species